CAUUCAUUUUCAUUUUCUCUAUUUUUUCUUUUCUUUUCACAUCGUAUUUACAAAACAGAUGUUUCUCUUUUCUAAUUUUUUUUUUUUAAUUUUCAAUGCUUGCUCGGUUUUUCAAGAGUUGUGGCACUUACCGAUUCUCAUUUUCGUUCUCCCCAACUUAUUUCUUACUCACCCUAAGUGAAUGCUCUUGACUUUUUACGGUAAAAGAACAAUUAUCAAAAUUUUUCCAAGUUUCAAAAAAAAGAUUUUUGACAUCUCGCUUUAUUUCAAGUUGAGAUUCAACUGUUUAAGCUCAAAGGGGUUAACGAAUACUCUCUCUGCUCACGGGUAAGUUGUAUUUGGAACUGGUUGUGCUCAAUAGAAAACAAGCGCCUUGAUCAUUUCUAAUUG
rnacentral:lncRNA from 1 species